CCCUCCUGCCCCUCCUCCACCUCCCCUCCUGCCCCUCCUCCACCUCCUCUCCUCCCCUUGAUUGACUGGAAGCGAAGAUUCGAGCAGCAUUUAAUUUAAGGCACAUUAUCAAAUCAGAUACCCUAGAAACCGGUUAAAACCGGUUCGGAAGUACCCUCGGCAGGAAUCGCGAUGUUAUUUCAAGCGUAAAGCAGGGCGGUAGCGGUGGGGAUGGUGGUGAGCUGAGAUGAUAGGGUUGGCUGCGGUGAGUUUGGUGGGUUGAGUGAGGUGGUUGGGUGAAGUGAAGUGAGAGGGUUGGGUGAGCUGAGAGGGUUGGGUGAGGUGAGGUGGGAGGGUUGGGUGAGGUGAGGUGAGAGGGGUUGGGUGAGGUGAGGUGGGACGGUUGAGUGAGAGAGUUGGGUGAGAUGGUUGGGUGAGGUUCAGCACCAACCAGCUCCACAGCCUUGCCUGCGACUCACCGCAGCUGUCAACC